rnacentral:rRNA from 1 species
ACUCCUACGGGAGGCAGCAGUGGGGAAUAUUGGACAAUGGGCGCAAGCCUGAUCCAGCAAUGCCGCGUGUGUGAAGAAGGCCUUCGGGUUGUAAAGCACUUUUAUCAGGAGCGAAAUACUACCGGCUAAUACCCGGUGGGGCUGACGGUACCUGAGGAAUAAGCACCGGCUAACUUCGUGCCAGCAGCCGCGGUAAUACGAAGGGUGCAAGCGUUAAUCGGAAUUACUGGGCGUAAAGCGUGCGUAGGCGGUUUUUUAAGUCUGCUGUGAAAUCCCCGGGCUCAACCUGGGAAUGGCAGUGGAUACGGGAAAGCUAGAGUGUGUCAGAGGAUGGUGGAAUUCCCGGUGUAGCGGUGAAAUGCGUAGAGAUCGGGAGGAACAUCAGUGGCGAAGGCGGCCAUCUGGGACAACACUGACGCUGAGGCACGAAAGCGUGGGGAGCAAACAGGAUUAGAUACCCUUGUAGUCC